rnacentral:ncRNA from 1 species
UUUGAAUCAACACGGGGGAAACUUACCAGGACCAGAUGUUUUUUAUGACUGACAGGCUUCGGGUCUUUCAGGAUAUUGUUUUUGGUGGUGCAUGGCCGUUGGUGGUGCGUGGGUUGACCUGUCUAGCGUUGAUUCAGCUAACGAGCGAGAUUAUCGCCAAUUAUUUACUUUGCCGAAGUCCUUCGGUUAAAGUUCUAAUUGGGACUCCCUGCGAUUUUAGCAGGUGGAAGAGGGUAGCAAUAACAGGUCCGUGAUGCCCUUUAGAUGCUCUGGGCUGCACGCGUGCUACAAUGUUAGGAUCAAUAGGACUGCGAGCCUGAGAGGGUGCGCUACUCUUAUAAUCCCUAACGUAGUUGGGAUUGACGUUUGUAAUCAGCGUCAUGAACCAGGAAUCCCUUGUAAAUGUGUGUCAACAACGCACGUUGAAUACGUCCCUGCCCUUUGUACACACCGCCCGUCGCUCCUACCGAUUGGAUGACUCGGUGAAAUCACCGGAUGCUUACGAGCAGAAAGUGAUUAAAUCACGUUAUCUAGAGGAAGGAGAAGUCGUAACAAGGUAACGGUAGGUGAACCUGCCGUUGGAUCAGUU